rnacentral:rRNA from 1 species
ACGAAGGGAGCUAGCGUUGUUCGGAAUUACUGGGCGUAAAGCGCAUGCAGGCGGGUCGUUAAGUCGGGGGUGAAAUCCCAGGGCUCAACCCUGGAACUGCCUUCGAUACUGGCGAUCUUGAGUCCGGGAGAGGUGAGUGGAACUCCGAGUGUAGAGGUGAAAUUCGUAGAUAUUCGGAAGAACACCAGUGGCGAAGGCGGCUCACUGGCCCGGUACUGACGCUGAGAUGCGAAAGCGUGGGGAGCAAACAG